rnacentral:rRNA from 1 species
ACGGGAGGCAGCAGUGGGGAAUAUUGCACAAUGGGCGCGAGCCUGAUGCAGCGAUGCCGCGUGAGGGAAGAAGGUUUUCGGAUUGUAAGCCUCUGCCAACAGGGACGAAUAAGACGGUACCUGUGAAGGAAGCUCCGGCUAACUACGUGCCAGCAGCCGCGGUAAUACGUAGGGAGCAAGCGUUAUCCGGAAUUACUGGGUGUAAAGGGAGUGUAGGCGGGACUGUAAGUCAGAUGUGAAAUAUACCGGCUCAACUGGUAGACUGCAUUUGAAACUGCGGUUCUUGAGUGAAGUAGAGGUAAGCGGAAUUCCUAGUGUAGCGGUGAAAUGCGUAGAUAUUAGGAGGAACAUCAGUGGCGAAGGCGGCUUACUGGGCUUUAACUGACGCUGAGGCUCGAAAGCGUGGGGAGCAAACAGGAUUAGAUACCCUGGUA